rnacentral:tRNA from 1 species
GGGAGUGGAGGCGAUCCUGGUGGACGCCGCGGCCUUCAAAGCCGUUGUGGGGCUUAACCGUCCCGGCUGGGUUCGAUUCCCAGACACUCCCGCCA